CCUAACACAUGCAAGUCGAACGGUAACAGGAAGAAGCUUGCUUCUUUGCUGACGAGUGGCGGACGGGUGAGUAAUGUCUGGGAAACUGCCUGAUGGAGGGGGAUAACUACUGGAAACGGUAGCUAAUACCGCAUAACGUCGCAAGACCAAAGAGGGGGACCUUCGGGCCUCUUGCCAUCGGAUGUGCCCAGAUGGGAUUAGCUAGUAGGUGGGGUAACGGCUCACCUAGGCGACGAUCCCUAGCUGGUCUGAGAGGAUGACCAGCCACACUGGAACUGAGACACGGUCCAGACUCCUACGGGAGGCAGCAGUGGGGAAUAUUGCACAAUGGGCGCAAGCCUGAUGCAGCCAUGCCGCGUGUAUGAAGAAGGCCUUCGGGUUGUAAAGACUUUCAGCGGGGAGGAAGGGAGUAAAGUUAAUACCUUUGCUCAUUGACGUUACCCGCAGAAGAAGCACCGGCUAACUCCGUGCCAGCAGCCGCGGUAAUACGGAGGGUGCAAGCGUUAAUCGGAAUUACUGGGCGUAAAGCGCACGCAGGCGGUUUGUUAAGUCAGAUGUGAAAUCCCCGGGCUCAACCUGGGAACUGCAUCUGAUACUGGCAAGCUUGAGUCUCGUAGAGGGG
rnacentral:rRNA from 1 species